rnacentral:rRNA from 1 species
AUUGAACGCUGGCGGCGUGCCUAAUACAUGCAAGUCGAACGCAGUGGCGGACGGGUGAGUAACGCGUAGGUAACUGCCUAUUAGAGGGGGAUAACUAUUGGAAACGAUAGCUAAUACCGCAUACUAGUAGAUGGACCUGCGUUGUAUUAGCUAGUAGGUAGGGUAAUGGCCUACCUAGGCGACGAUACAUAGCCGACCAGAGGGGUUGACUCGCCACCUCGGGAUGUAGACACGGCCCCGACUCCUCCGGUGGGCAGCAGUAGGGAAUCUUCGGCAAUGGGGGGAACCCUGGACGAGCAAAGCCGCGUGAGUUAAGAAGGUUUUCGGAUCGUAAAACUCUGUUGUUAGAGAAGCGGUAUCUAACCAGAAAGCCACGGCUAACUACGUGCCAGCAGCCGCGGUAAUUC